rnacentral:rRNA from 1 species
UACGUAGGGUGCAAGCGUUGUCCGGAAUUAUUGGGCGUAAAGAGCUCGUAGGCGGCCUGUCACGUCGGCUGUGAAAACCCGGGGCUCAACCCCGGGCCUGCAGUCGAUACGGGCAGACUAGAGUGCGGUAGGGGAGACUGGAAUUCCUGGUGUAGCGGUGAAAUGCGCAGAUAUCAGGAGGAACACCGGUGGCGAAGGCGGGUCACUGGGCACCACCUGACGCUGAGGCGCGAAAGCGUGGGGAGCGAACAGG